rnacentral:rRNA from 1 species
AUUGAACGCUGGCGGCGUGCCUAACACAUGCAAGUCGAGCGGAGUGGCGCACGGGGGAGUAUAGUAUAGCUGAUCUUCCCUACACUAGAGGGCAACAGAUGGAAAAGGCUAGCAAUACUCUAUAGUGUAGGAUGAGGCUGUAUUGUAGCAGCUAGUUGGUGAGGGAUUGGUGCACAAAGGCUAUGACGCAUAACUGGUCUGAGAGGAUGAGCAGUCAAUCCGGACUGGAGACACGGGCAGGAAUUCUACGGGAAGGAGCAGAAGGCAAUAUGGCGCAAGGGGGGUAACCGUGAAGCAGCAUAGCCGUGUGGAGGAUGACACUUCGGGAAGCAUAAAUUCUUGUUGUUAGGGAAGCGGUACCUACCGAAUAAGCACCGGCUAACUCCGUGCCAGCAGCCGCGGUAAUUC